rnacentral:lncRNA from 1 species
AAAAAAAAUAAAUUACAAAAAAUCUCUAUAUAAAUAUUUAUUUUUUAUUUUUUUUUCUGAUUUUAAAAUUUUAUUUUUUGUUUCUUAAAAAUUUUUAGAAAUAUUUUUAGAGAAGCACGGUGUUAAUGAAGAGUAAAAAUUGUUUAUUAAAAAAAUAAUUUUUCAAUAUAUUUUUAUUAUCUUAAAGGAUAUUUUCUGUAUAAAACUAUAAAUUAUAAAAAUUUGACGGAAUAGUAAUGAAAAGCUGACGUAGGGGGGCUAAAUAUAAUAAUUUGAAAUGUUAAGAAAGUAAAAUAUAGAUUUUUAAAAGUUUGAAAAGAAAAAUAAAAAAAUGAAUAUUUACUUGAGAGUUUUCUAUAAUUUAGCAAAAAAAAAAAUGCUAAUUGCGAAUUAUUGUUUAAAAUAUAAAAUUAUAAUUAUUUUAGGCUUUGAU